rnacentral:rRNA from 1 species
GAUGAACGCUAGCUACAGGCUUAACACAUGCAAGUCGAGGGGUAGCACGGAGGAAGCUUGCUUCCUUGGGUGACGACCGGCGCACGGGUGAGUAACGCGUAUCCUACCUACCCAUAACUCGGGCACAGCCGCUCGAAAGAGUGAUUGAUUCCCGAUAUGUCAUUAGAGUAGAUCUAAUGAUGAAAGAUUUAUCGGUUAUGGAUGGGGAUGCGUAAGAUUAGGUAGUAGGCGGGGUAACGGCCCACCUAGCCGACGAUCUUUAGGGGUUCUGAGAGGAAGGUCCCCCACACUGGUACUGAGACACGGACCAGACUCCUACGGGAGGCAGCAGUGAGGAAUAUUGGUCAAUGGGCGGAAGCCUGAACCAGCCAAGUUGCGUGAAGGAUUACAGCCCUACGGGUUUUAAACUUCUUUUAUAUAAGAGUAAUGUGCACUACGUGUAGUGUAUUGCAAGUAUUAUAUGAAUAAGCAUCGGCUAACUCCGUGCCAGCAGCCGCCGUAAGAC